GCAGAUAUGGCCGAGUGGUUAAGGCGAUGGUCUUAAGCACCAUUAUCGAAAGAUGCAAGGGUUCGAACCCCUUUGUCUGCA
rnacentral:tRNA from 4 species